rnacentral:rRNA from 1 species
UACGAGGGGGGCGAGCGUUGUUCGGAAUUAUUGGGCGUAAAGGGUGCGUAGGCGGUUCCGCAAGUCCUGUGUGAAAUCUUCGGGCUCAACUCGGAGCCUGCACGAGAAACUGCCGGGCUUGAGUGUGGGAGAGGUGAGUGGAAUUCCUGGUGUAGCGGUGAAAUGCGUAGAUAUCAGGAGGAACACCUGUGGCGAAAGCGGCUCACUGGACCAUAACUGACGCUGAUGCACGAAAGCUAGGGGAGCAAACAGG